rnacentral:rRNA from 1 species
GAACGAGAACCUAUCCUUCGGGGUAGGGGACAGUGGCGCACGGGUGCGUAACACGUGGGUAAUCAACCCCUUGAACCGGGACAACACGAGGAAACUCGGGCUAAUACCGGAUGUGGCAUGCGGAACCUCGGUUCUGUCUGCGAAAGCUCCGCAAGGAGCGUCAGGGGACGAGCUCGCGGCCCAUCAGCUUGAUGGUGAGGUAAUGGCUCACCAUGGCGAAGACGGGUAGCUGGUCUGAGAGGAUGAUCAGCCACACUGGAACUGAGACACGGUCCAGACUCCUACGGGAGGCAGCAGUGGGGAAUAUUGCGCAAUGGGCGAAAGCCUGACGCAGCCACGCCGCGUGAGCGAUGAAGGCCUUCGGGUCGUAAAGCUCUGUGGAGGGAGAAGAAUCAAGCCGGUGAAGAGCCGGCCCUGACGGUAUCCCUUUAGCAAGCACCGGCUAACUCCGUGCCAGCAGCCGCGGUAAUACGGAGGGUGCGAACGUUGCUCGGAAUCAUUGGGCGUAAAGCACACGUAGGCGGCCUGCUAAGUUGGAUGUGAAAGCCCUGGGCUCAACCCAGGAAGUGCAUUCAAAACUGACAGGCUUGAGUACCGGAGGGGCUCGGAGAA